rnacentral:rRNA from 1 species
UGGGGAAUAUUGCGCAAUGGGGGAAACCCUGACGCAGCGACGCCGCGUGCGGGAUGAAGGCCUUCGGGUUGUAAACCGCUUUUGAUUGGGAGCAAGCCUUUUGGGUGAGUGUACCUUUCGAAUAAGCCCCGGCUAACUACGUGCCAGCAGCCGCGGUAAUACGUAGGGGGCUAGCGUUGUCCGGAAUCACUGGGCGUAAAGGGUUCGCAGGCGGAAUAACAAGUCAGAUGUGAAAGGCAUGGGCUCAACCCAUGUAAGCAUUUGAAACUGUAAUUCUUGAGAAGUGGAGAGGUAAGUGGAAUUCCUAGUGUAGCGGUGAAAUGCGUAGAUAUUAGGAGGAAUACCUGUGGCGAAGGCGACUUACUGGACACAAAUCUGACGCUGAGGAACGAAAGCGUGGGUAGCAAACAGG